CAAAGUUGGAAAUCAAAGAGAUUCUUUUACAUUUUUUAUUUCCUUUGUUGCUUUAGUAAGAGCUGGCUUCCUCCUUUUCCCUUUUUUCACGUCUUCACACUCACUUUUAUGCAUUGCAUUACCUUGCUGACAAGUUUUCAUAACUUGAAUUCUUGUGUUAGUUUCCCAAGAGUGUUAUUUUCCUUCUCUAAGGUUGAUUUGAGCUUCUACUACUUCUUUGAAUUCGUGAAUGUGUCAGUGUCAGUGCUAGUGUCAUAUAAUAACUACACAUUUUUUGUGGUUGAGAAAUUGAUGCGGGAGAGCUUUGAGUUUUGGUUGCAUUGUUAA